ensembl:snRNA U1 U1 spliceosomal RNA
AAAAAAAAAUCACAGGGGAGAUACCAUGAUCACGAAGGUGGUUUUCCCAGGGCGAGGCUUAUCCAUUGCACUCCGGAUGUGCUGACCCCUGCGAUUUCCCCAAAUGUGGGAAACUUGACUGCAUAAUUUGUGGUAGUGUGGGACUGCGUUCGCGCUCUCCCCUA